rnacentral:misc_RNA from 1 species
GCAAACUUGGUCAUUUAGAGGAAGUAAAAGUCGUAACAAGGUUUCCGUAGGUGAACCUGCGGAAGGAUCAUUAAUGAAUUCAAUUGAGCUGUUGCUGGUUUCAAAUGGGACAUUGUGCACGCUUGAUUCAAUUUUUAUCAACCACCUGUGAACCAAUUGUAGACUUUGGAUAACUAUCGAGUCAAUUCAAUUCAAUCUGAUUGGAUUGAUUGACCUCGGAUUUGAAGGAUUGCUUUGAAAGGCUCUCCAUCGAUUUCCAAGUCUAUGUCAUCUAUAUACACUUUAAUUGCAUGUCAGUAAAAUCGAUUAUUAUAAUCAUAAUACAACUUUCAACAACGGAUCUCUUGGCUCUCGCAUCGAUGAAGAACGCAGC